rnacentral:rRNA from 1 species
ACAGGGAUUGCCCCAGUAACGGCGAGUGAAGCGGCAACAGCUCAAAUUUGAAAUCUGGUCCCCCCGCGGGGCCCGAGUUGUAAUUUGAAGAGGAUGCUUCUGGCAAGGUGCCGUCCGAGUUCCCUGGAACGGGACGCCGCAGAGGGUGAGAGCCCCGUACGGUCGGACGCCGAGCCUCUGUGAAGCUCCUUCGACGAGUCGAGUAGUUUGGGAAUGCUGCUCAAAAUGGGAGGUAAACCCCUUCUAAAGCUAAAUACCGGCCAGAGACCGAUAGCGCACAAGUAGAGUGAUCGAAAGAUGAAAAGCACUUUGAAAAGAGAGUUAAAAAGCACGUGAAAUUGUUGAAAGGGAAGCGCUUGCGACCAGACUCGCGCCCGUCGGAUCAGCCGUCGCUCGUCGGCGGCGCACUCCGGCGGGCUCGGGCCAGCAUCAGUUCGCCUCGGGGGGAGAAAGGCGGCGGGAAUGUGGCUCUACGGAGUGUUAUAGCCCGCCGCGUAAUACCCCCGGGCGGACUGAGGACCGCGCGUAUGCAAGGAUGCUGGCGUAAUGGUCGUCAGCGACCCGUCUUGAAACACGGACCAAGGAGUCGUCCUAAUAUGCGAGUGUACGGGUGUCAAACCCCUGCGCGUAAUGAAAGUGAACGGAGGUGAGAGCUUCGGCGCAUCAUCGACCGAUCCUGAUGUUCUCGGAUGGAUUUGAGUAAGAGCAUAUUGGGCCGGACCCGAAAGAAGGUGAACUAUGCCUGUGUAGGGUAAAGCCAGAGGAAACUCUGGUGGAGGCUCGCAGCGGUUCUGACGUGCAAAUCGAUCGUCAAACAUGGGCAUGGGGGCGAAAGACUAAUCGAACCUUCUAGUAGCUGGUUUCCG